UUUCUUCACUCUAUGAAUUCUCUGAGGAAUUCCAAGACUACGUUUAAGGGAGGAUGUUGUCCUUGGAGAGGCUCUACCCAGCAGCUAAAGCAGACAGAUAUAGACACCUAUAGUGAAACAGUGAUGGAGCUGGGGGUCUCUUAUGGAAGAAUAAGAAGAAAGAUUGGGGACCCUGAAGGGGACAAGAUCUCCACAAGAAGACCAACAGAGUCAAGUAAUCUGUACUCUUGAGGUUCUCAGAAACUGAACCAUCAACCAAAGAACAUACAGGGGCUGGACCUAGACUUCCCAGCAAAUAUGUAGGUGAUGUACAGCUUGGACUUCAUAUGGGUCCUAUACAACUGGAACAGAGUCUAUCCCAAAAGCUUUUGCCUGAAUGAGGGAUAUAUUCUUCUAGCUGGGUCGUCUUGGUUGGCCUUAGUAGGAGAGGAAGCAUCUAGUCUCACAGAGAUUUGAAGUGCCAGGGUGGAAAGAUACAUAGAGGGAAGCCUACCUGCUCAGAGAAGAUAAGGGGGUGAAGGAAGGAUUGUGCUUAUGUAUUGGGAAGGGGCAGGAUGUGACAGAG
rnacentral:lncRNA from 1 species